rnacentral:rRNA from 1 species
GACCUGCUGCUCACUGUUCUCCGGACGGAGGGGCUAAUUAGAGGGACCGCCGCCGCUGAGGCGGAGGAAGGAGGGGGCUACGGCAGGUCAGUAUGCCCCGAAACCCUCGGGCCACACGCGGGCUGCAAUGGUAAGGACAACGGGCUCCGAUCCCGAAAGGGGGAGGCAAUCCCACAAACCUUACCUCAGUUAUGAUUGAGGGCUGAAACUCGCCCUCAUGAAUAUGGAAUCCCUAGUAACCGCGUGUCACCAUCGCGCGGUGAAUACGUCCCUGCUCCUUGCACAA